rnacentral:rRNA from 1 species
AUUGAACGCUGGCGGAAUGCUUUACACAUGCAAGUCGAACGGCAGCACGGACUUCGGUCUGGUGGCGAGUGGCGAACGGGUGAGUAACAUAUCGGAACGUAUCCAAUAAUGGGGGAUAACGAGUCGAAAGAUUCGCUAAUACCGCAUACGCCCUACGGGGGAAAGCUGGGGACCUUCGGGCCUGGCGUUAAUGGAGCGGCCGAUAUCUGAUUAGCUAGUUGGUGAGGUAAAGGCUCACCAAGGCGACGAUCAGUAGCUGGUCAGAGAGGACGACCAGCCACACUGGAACUGAGACACGGUCCAGACUCCUACGGGAGGCAGCAGUGGGGAAUUUUGGACAAUGGGCGCAAGCCUGAUCCAGCCAUUCCGCGUGAGUGAAGAAGGCCUUCGGGUUGUAAAGCUCUUUCGCAAGGGAAGAAAACUUAGCCACUAACAUUGGUUGAGGUUGACGGUACCUUGAUAAGAAGCACCGGCUAACUACGUGCCAGCAGCCGCAGUAA